AAAACAUAUUUUUGAAUUCAAAUAUAACCCUAGAAUAUGACACUUCACUGUGAAUUAUGUUGUUAUAAAACUUUUGUAAAAUUUAUUACUCAAAGAAAAUCCUGUGUAACUUGGACACAGAGCACAAACUUUUCAUAAGGGAUCAGCCUGAGAUUCAACAGCAUUCCCCCUAUGUCAACAUUCUGUUCAAUUUGUAGAAUUUUUCUGAUAAAUUCUCUGAUAUCACAUUUUAAAGUCAGGAUGUUGACUCUUUCAAGCAAAUGGCAUUCAUGGGAUCUUCUGCCAUCUUCACGACGAAAUCCCACCUGGAUAAACUUUUUUCUUAUUCUAAGUAUUAUUGCAAACAUAAAUAACAUAUGCAUUUAUAAUUGUCAGGUUUAGCAUAUCUUAAAAUAGGCAAAAUGGCCAUCUUUUUGUCUUCCUACUAAUCAACAUAUUGAAGCACAUUUGGUCUACUGUAUCAACAGUUCCCUCUGUAGAACUAUAAAAUACUCUUAUUUAAGAAAUGAAUAGAAAAACAACUCUAUACUCUCUUUUUUAACAUUAUUAGAACACAUAAACCACAAAAAAUAAAACAAAAUCUCUUCCACUUACUGUUAUGAUAUCUUUCGUUACACUGUUAUGAAAGGUAUCAUAUUUUUUACGAUGUCUCUGUUGUAUUUUCAAAACUAAAUAACGUUUGACUGCAAUGACCCAUCAUGGGUCACUGGCAUGAAUAAUUAGGAAGAUACACAGAGUGGAAGAGCAUUAGUGUGUGGCAAACUAUUGAUUUUAAAAAUUUUGUAUUUUGAGAUCAUAAUUUUUAUGACACUUUCGUAAUCUACAAUUAAUUACAAAUUGAUGAAUUGUAGUAUAUAAUGCAUAUCUGUUCUAUUAUAUGAAAUAAAUCCUCUUAAUUUUUAAGAAAAAUACAAAAG
rnacentral:lncRNA from 1 species